rnacentral:rRNA from 1 species
AUUGAACGCUGGCGGCAUGCCUUACACAUGCAAGUCGAACGGCAGCACGGGUGCUUGCCCCUGGUGGCGAGUGGCGAACGGGUGAGUAAUACAUCGGAACAUGUCCUGUAGUGGGGGAUAGCCCGGCGAAAGCCGGAUUAAUACCGCAUACGAUCUACGGAUGAAAGCGGGGGACCUUCGGGCCUCGCGCUAUAGGGUUGGCCGAUGGCUGAUUAGCUAGUUGGUGGGGUAAAGGCCUACCAAGGCGACGAUCAGUAGCUGGUCUGAGAGGACGACCAGCCACACUGGGACUGAGACACGGCCCAGACUCCUACGGGAGGCAGCAGUGGGGAAUUUUAGACAAUGGGCGAAAGCCUGAUCCAGCAAUGCCGCGUGUGUGAAGAAGGCCUUCGGGUUGUAAAGCACUUUUGUCCGGAAAGAAAUCCUUGGCCCUAAUACGGUCGGGGGAUGACGGUACCGGAAGAAUAAGCACCGGCUAACUACGUG